AUUGAACGCUGGCGGCAUGCCUUACACAUGCAAGUCGAACGGCAGCAUGAUCUAGCUUGCUCGAUUGAUGGCGAGUGGCGAACGGGUGAGUAAUACAUCGGAACGUGCCCUGUAGUGGGGGAUAACUAGUCGAAAGAUUAGCUAAUACCGCAUACGACCUGAGGGUGAAAGUGGGGGACCGCAAGGCCUCAUGCUAUAGGAGCGGCCGAUGUCUGAUUUUCUAGUUGGUGGGGUAAAGGCUCACCAAGGCGACGAUCAGUAGCUGGUCUGAGAGGAGGAUCAGCCACACUGGGACUGAGACACGGCCCAGACUCCGACGGGAGGCAGCAGUGGGGAAUUGUGGACAAUGGGCGGAAGCCUGAUCCAGCAAUGCCGCGUGUGUGAAGAAGGCCUUCGGGUUGUAAAGCACUUUUGUCCGGAAAGAAAUGGCUCGGGUUAAUACCUGGGGUUGAUGACGGUACCGGAAGAAUAAGGACCGGCUAACUACGUG
rnacentral:rRNA from 1 species